GUGGACGCAUCACUGGUGUUCGGGUUGUCAUGCCAAUGGCACUGCCCGGUAGCUAAAUGCGGAAGAGAUAAGUGCUGAAAGCAUCUAAGCACGAAACUUGCCCCGAGAUGAGUUCUCCCUGAGACUUAAGGUCUCCUGAAGGAACGUUGAAGACGACGACGUUGAUAGGCCGGGUGUGUAAGCGCAGCGAUGCGUUGAGCUAACCGGUACUAAUGAACCGUGAGGCUUAACCUU
rnacentral:rRNA from 1 species